rnacentral:lncRNA from 1 species
CACUAACUGAUACAUGUUUGCUAACAAACCAAGAUAAAGUGCUUUACAAGUGGCCUAUCUGUGUCAAACAUUUAAAUUGCGGAGUUCUGCUUUGGAAAAGGUUUAAUAGCAGGUGAAGCUACAGUAUAUUCCUUUUUGAAAUUAUAUGAAAUGUGUUGGUUGCACCCAGGAGUCGAGUAAAGGUUAAAAAUACACAAGCGUCACUAAACAAGAACCCGUUCCCUCUACAGAAGACUCCUAAAUGAAAAAUCUGCAACCAGCUGUAGAGAUUGAUGUCAUUCAUCCCCCUUUUUAUUGGCCAUUGCGAGCGCAAAUAUUAACUGUAGUGCUCGGUAAUAAUCCCCCGGAGAGCUCGGUGCAUUUGAACUCGGAGGAAUCGUGAACUAUCGGGACUCUAUGAGUACUCUAGCAGCUGUGUGUCUCCAGGGCUAAUGUGCUGUGAAAAGGUUUUAUGCGACCGAUACCGGAAAAAGAAGACCCAGCACAGACACACUAAAUGCCAUGCAGGUCCUUUGAACUGCUGGAAGAGCGAGCUGGAGUAAGGUGUCACACACAUUUUGGAAACACAUGUUCCGGAUGGUUCUGAGAUCAGGCACGACCCCGCGUCUCUGUCGGCAAGGCGCUGCGUCAUGCACAGAUUUGUGCGCAGUGUGUAUUCUCCAUGUGGCCACCCAAACACAUUUGAACCCACUACUCAUCUAUGGUUUAUUCACACUUAGCUAUUCUGCAACUGUCGAAAUGGCUUCUGGAUUCUGGUUGGACAAAAGAAGAUCAGUAGGUCACACCCACAGGGCUUCAGCAAGACCCACAUGUAUUAGCCAGCUAAGAAAUUUAUUUUUUGGUUAUCAUGAAGUUCAAUGAAAUGGGCAAAUACCAACCACCGACCGGAGUCGGUGAAAAUGUUUGCUAAAUCAUUUAUAGGAAAAUAUUAAAUGGUUUAAAACAAAUGUUUUUCUCUUUCACCCAGCCCAUUGAUUCAUUAAUGUACUGAACUUUUCUUAACAUUUCCUUUUGUAAAUGUCAGAUUAACAGACAGACUACAUACCAGGUUGCUGGUUGAAUAGUAGGCUACAGCCGGAGUGUAGUCAUCAAUCAUAAAUAACAAUAUUUUAUCUUGAGUGCACAAGUGUACAG